rnacentral:rRNA from 1 species
CCCUUAGAUGUCCUGGGCUGCACGCGCACUACACUGGAAGUUACGGAUUGAGAUACUACCUUGUCCGAAAUGGUCCGGGUAAUCACCUAAAAGCUUGUCAUAAUUGGAAUGGAUUAUUGUAACUAGUAAUCCUGAACGAGGAAUUCCUAGUAGUCCCAGUCAACAGCUGGUACUGAUUACGUCCCUGCCCUUUGUACACACCGCCCGUCGCUACUACUGAUUGGACGUUUAAGCAAGAUUUUUAAACACUGACAGUGUGUAGUUCACGCUAUACUACAGUGAGAAGAAGAAGAUCGAGCUUACUUGUCUAGAGGAAGUAAAAGUCGUAACA